AUGAGUGCUCUUUGUUGGAACGGUCGUGGCAUGGGUAAAGCCGCGACAGUCCGCGAACUUCGCGAAUUCGUGAGGAAAUUUACCCCUACCCUGCUUUGUAUCGUUGAAACGCAAGUUGAAGGCCCUAGGGUAGUAGAAUUAGCUAGUUCUAUUGACUUUGAUAAUUCUUAUGCAGUUGAUAGUCAAGGUAGGAGUGGUGGUAUUGGUCUUUCUUGGAACAAUUCAAUAAAAGUUGAAAUUCUCGGUUACUUUGGACAUCAUCUAGAUGUCUCAGUUGAGGAACGGGGGCAAGAAAAGUGCAGGAUGACAUGUGUGUACGGAGAAGCUCAGACACAUUUGCGGCACCAAACUUGGACGGUCGUAAAAAACACAAGUACUUUGAGCAGCUUGUCGUGGCUCUGUAUAGGGGACGUUAAUGAAGUACUACGUCCAAACGAGCACGAAGGAGUUGGGCAACGCGGCAAUACUCAAAUCCAAGCUUUUCGAGACACCGAUGAUAUUUGCAUGCUUUUGCUUGACAUUGGAUAUAAGGGCCAGUUUUGGACUUCUGAAAAAAGGUCAUGGGUGGAAGCUUCACAAGGUGCAGGCUGGAUAGAGGUUUGA
rnacentral:rRNA from 1 species